rnacentral:misc_RNA from 1 species
AAAAAAUAAGAGCAUUUAACACUGAUGUUACUAAACUAUACUUCUAAUUUCAUCUCAAUAAAAAGAUAAUUAGGAGAAGCACAAUCAACUACCAAAGGAAAAGAAGAAUAAACACAAUCAGCUAAUGGCAUAGAUGCCACUAUUUGUUUUUGUACUUCAAUUAUGUAAUUUCUAUUAUAUUCAUUUAUAUAACACCGCGUAAAAUUCGCAUCCUGUUCUUGUUUGCUUCCUUUGGGACAAGAAGAGUCAAAUAACAAGAGUUACGUUAUACCACUUAAAAUCAAUGGAGAUUUUAUGCAUUUUUAGGUAAUUAAACCUUGUGAUGUUUGAGAAAGGAAUAAACACACUAACCUUAUGGCUAAAAGGGACAUCG